rnacentral:rRNA from 1 species
UACAGAGGUCUCAAGCGUUGUUCGGAUUCAUUGGGCGUAAAGGGUGCGUAGGUGGCGCCGUAAGUCGGGUGUGAAAUUUCGGAGCUUAACUCCGAAACUGCAUUCGAUACUGCGGUGCUUGAGGACUGGAGAGGAGACUGGAAUUCAUGGUGUAGCAGUGAAAUGCGUAGAGAUCAUGAGGAAGACCAGUGGCGAAGGCGGGUCUCUGGACAGUUCCUGACACUGAGGCACGAAGGCCAGGGGAACAAACGGG